AUUCUGCCCAAGCGGGGAAGGAUGAGAAGCUUCGACCAAGGUUCGACUUGAGCGCCAGCGAGAGAGCGUUGCCGCAGGCAACGACCCGAAGGGCGAAGCGCGCAGCG
rnacentral:sRNA from 2 species